rnacentral:piRNA from 1 species
UGAACCUAUGGGAACAAUGAGCAAAAGAG